UGUCCAGUCCCUUCAAGCUGCGAGUGCUGCCUACCCAUGAUGCCAGUAAGGUGGUGGCUAGUGGUCCAGGUCUAACCACUGGAGUGCCAGCCAGCUUUCCAGUGGAGUUCACCAUCGAUGCCAAGGACGCAGGAGAGGGACAACUAUCCGUCCAGAUCACAGACCAAGAUGGGAAGCCGAAGAGGGUUGGUAUCCAGGACAACCGUGACGGGACCUACCUGGUGUCCUACGUACCUGACAAGGUGGGGCGGUACACCAUCGUGAUCAGAAUACGGAGGAGAUGAGAUCCCUGCCUCGCCCUACCGGGUCAGAGCCACGUCCUCAGGAGACGCCAGCAAAUGCACCGUCGCAGGUCCUGGUAUCGCCCCGUCAUCGCGGUCGGGGAAGAGGUGGGCUUUGUGGUGAACGCUAAGGCAGCUGGGAAGGGGAAGGUGACAUGUAUCGUGGUGACGCCC